rnacentral:rRNA from 1 species
AGAGAGAGACAUGCGUGCAUAUCAAUAAGCGGAGGAAAAGAAACUAACUAGGAUUCCCCUCAGUAACGGCGAGUGAAGCGGGAAGAGCUCAAAUUUGAAAUCUUCAAGGUUCUACCUUGACGAAUUGUAGUUUAAAGAAGUGUUUUCGGUUAGAGGAGUUUAGGUAAAAGUUCUUUGGAAUAGGACAUCAUAGGGGGUGAGAAUCCCGUAUUUGACCUAUUAUUUCCUAGCUUUGUGAUACACUUUCAAAGAGUCAGAUUGUUUGGGAAUGCAGUCCAAAAUGGGUGGUAAAUUUCAUCUAAAGCUAAAUACUGGCGAGAGACCGAUAGCGAACAAGUACCGUGAGGGAAAGAUGAAAAGAACUUUGAAAAGAGAGUUAAGCAGUACGUGAAAUUGUCAAAAGGGAAGCGUUUGACACCAGUGUUGUUUUUUCCGAAAAUCAAUUAUAAACGUUUUGUUUUUGAGGAGUGAUGACUUCAUCGGCUUCCUUCUCUCUUUACGAAACUUUUGUAAUGCACUUUUCGGUUAACAAGUCAACAUCAAUUUCUUUUGUUGUAAAAGGGUCAUUGGAAGGUGGCUUUCUUUUCGGAGAAAGUGUUUAUAGCCUUUGGCCUCUGCAAUCGGAGAGAUUGAGGUCUGCAGCGUAGAUCCUUCGGGGUUAGAUACAUUUGUGCUAAGUUAUAGCCUUUCAUAGACAACUUGUUGACUAUGAUCAGUCAUGUAGCUUACUCGCUUAUGCUAUUUUACCUACGCUUAGGAUGUUGACAGCAGUAUAGACUGU